UACGAAGGGGGCUAGCGUUGUUCGGAAUCACUGGGCGUAAAGGGCGCGUAGGCGGCCGAUCAAGUGGGGGUGAAAGCCUGUGGCUCAACCACAGAAUUGCCUUCGAUACUGUUUGGCUUGAGACCGGAAGAGGUAAGUGGAACUGCGAGUGUAGAGGUGAAAUUCGUAGAUAUUCGCAAGAACACCAGUGGCGAAGGCGGCUUACUGGUCCGGUUCUGACGCUGAGGCGCGAAAGCGUGGGGAGCAAACAGG
rnacentral:rRNA from 1 species